CUACGGGAUGCAGCAGUGGGGAAUAUUGCACAAUGGGGGAAACCCUGAUGCAGCCAUGCCGCGUGUAUGAAGAAGGCCUUCGGGUUGUAAAGUACUUUCAGCAGUGAGGAAGGGUGAUAAAUUAAUACUUUAUCAUUUUGACGUUAGCUGCAGAAGAAGCACCGGCUAACUCCGUGCCAGCAGCCGCGGUAAUACGGAGGGUGCGAGCGUUAAUCGGAAUUACUGGGCGUAAAGCGCAUGCAGGUGGUCUGUUAAGUCAGAUGUGAAAGCCCGGGGCUUAACCUCGGAAUCGCAUUUGAAACUGGCAGGCUAGAGUACUGUAGAGGGGGGUAGAAUUUCAGGUGUAGCGGUGAAAUGCGUAGAGAUCUGAAGGAAUACCGGUGGCGAAGGCGGCCCCCUGGACAGAUACUGACACUCAGAUGCGAAAGCGUGGGGAGCAAACAGGAUUAGAUACCCGAGUAGUC
rnacentral:rRNA from 1 species